rnacentral:rRNA from 1 species
UACGUAGGGUGCGAGCGUUGUCCGGAUUUAUUGGGCGUAAAGGGCUCGUAGGCGGCCUGUUGCGUCCGCUGUGAAAGCCCGGGGCUUAACCCCGGGUCGGCAGUGGAUACGGGCAGGCUAGAGGUAGGUAGGGGAGAAUGGAAUUCCCGGUGUAGCGGUGAAAUGCGCAGAUAUCGGGAGGAACACCGGUGGCGAAGGCGGUUCUCUGGGCCUUACCUGACGCUGAGGAGCGAAAGCGUGGGGAGCGAACAGG